UACAGAGGUCUCAAGCGUUGUUCGGAUUCACUGGGCGUAAAGGGUGCGUAGGUGGUCGUGUAAGUCUGAUGUGAAAUCUCCGAGCCUAACUCGGAAACUGCAUCGGAUACUAUUCGGCUUGAGGGUUGGAGGGGGGACUGGAAUACUUGGUGUAGCAGUGAAAUGCGUAGAUAUCAAGUGGAACACCAGUGGCGAAGGCGAGUCCCUGGACAACUCCUGACACUGAGGCACGAAAGCUAGGGGAGCAAACAGG
rnacentral:rRNA from 1 species